UACAGAGGUCUCAAGCGUUGUUCGGAUUCAUUGGGCGUAAAGGGUGCGUAGGCGGCGCGGUAAGUCGGGUGUGAAAUCUCGGGGCUUAACUCCGAAACUGCAUUCGAUACUGCCGUGCUUGAGGACUGGAGAGGAGACUGGAAUUUACGGUGUAGCGGUGAAAUGCGCAGAUAUCGGGAAGAACACCCGUGGCGAAGGCGGCUCUCUGGAACGCAACUGACGCUGAGACGCGAAAGCGUGGGGAGCAAACAGG
rnacentral:rRNA from 1 species